rnacentral:rRNA from 1 species
UACGUAGGGGGCAAGCGUUGUCCGGAUUUAUUGGGCGUAAAGAGCGUGUAGGCGGCCAUGUAGGUCCGUUGUGAAAACUCGAGGCUCAACCUCGAGACGCCGAUGGAAACCAUCUGGCUAGAGUCCGGAAGAGGAGAAUGGAAUUCCCGGUGUAGCGGUGAAAUGCGCAGAUAUCGGGAAGAACACCCGUGGCGAAGGCGGUUCUCUGGGACGGUACUGACGCUGAGACGCGAAAGCGUGGGGAGCGAACAGG